rnacentral:rRNA from 1 species
GACGAACGCUGGCGGCGUGCCUAAUACAUGCAAGUCGAACGCAGUGGGGACGGGUGAGUAAAACGUGGGUAACCUCCCAUCAGAGGGGAUAACACUUGGAAACAGGUGCUAAACCGAUACUGAUGGAUGCACCCGGGGUGCAUUAGCUAGUUGGUGAGGUAACGGCUCACCAAGGCCACGAGGCAUAGCCGGCCUGAGGGGGUGAGCGGCCACACUGGGACUGAGACACGGCCCAGACUCCUACGGGAGGGAGCAGUGGGGAAUCUUCGGCGAUGGACGAAAGUCUGACCGAGCAACGCCGCGUGAGUGAAGAAGGUUUUCGGAUCGUAAAGCUCUGUUGUUAGAGAAGCGGUAUCUAACCAGAAAGCCACGGCUAACUACGUGCCAGCAGCCGCGGUAAUAC